rnacentral:rRNA from 1 species
UACGUAGGGUGCAAGCGUUGUCCGGAAUUAUUGGGCGUAAAGAGCUCGUAGGCGGUCUGUCGCGUCGGCUGUGAAAACCCGGGGCUCAACCCCGGGCCUGCAGUCGAUACGGGCAGACUAGAGUGUGGUAGGGGAGACUGGAAUUCCUGGUGUAGAGGUGAAAUUCGUAGAUAUUGGGAAGAACACCGGUGGCGAAGGCGGCUCUCUGGGCCUGUACUGACGCUGAGGAGCGAAAGCGUGGGGAGCGAACAGG